UGAAUUGACGGGGACCCGCACAAGCGGUGGAUGAUGUGGUUUAAUUCGAUGCAACGCGAAAAACCUUACCCACCUUUGACAUGUACGGAAUCCUCUAGAGAUAGAGGAGUGCUCGAAAGAGAGCCGUAACACAGGUGCUGCAUGGCUGUCGUCAGCUCGUGUCGUGAGAUGUUGGGUUAAGUCCCGCAACGAGCGCAACCCUUGUCAUUAGUUGCUACGAAAGGGCACUCUAAUGAGACUGCCGGUGACAAACCGGAGGAAGGUGGGGAUGACGUCAAGUCCUCAUGGCCCUUAUAGGUGGGGCUACACACGUCAUACAAUGGCUGGUACAAAGGGUUGCCAACCCGCGAGGGGGAGCCAAUCCCACAAAGCCGGUCGUAGUCCGGAUCGCAGUCUGCAACUCGACUGCGUGAAGUCGGAAUCGCUAGUAAUCGCGGAUCAGCAUGUCGCGGUGAAUACGUUCCCGGGUCUU
rnacentral:rRNA from 1 species